UACAGAGGUCCCGAGCGUUGUUCGGAUUCACUGGGCGUAAAGGGUGCGUAGGCGGCUUUGCAAGUCUGAUGUGAAAUCUCCGGGCUCAACCCGGAAAUGGCAUUAGAAACUGUGAGGCUGGAGGCUUGGAGGGGGAACUGGAAUACUUGGUGUAGCAGUGAAAUGCGUAGAUAUCAAGUGGAACACCAGUGGCGAAGGCGAGUUCCUGGACAAGUCCUGACGCUGAGGCACGAAAGCUAGGGGAGCAAAC
rnacentral:rRNA from 1 species